GCAGUGCGUGGCCGAAUGGAUACGCUGUCCGCUUUGUUAGCGGAUGAUUCUGGGUUCGAUUCCCAUCUGCUGCA
rnacentral:tRNA from 1 species